AUUGAACGCUGGCGGCAUGCUUUACACAUGCAAGUCGAACGGCAGCACGGGGGCAACCCUGGUGGCGAGUGGCGAACGGGUGAGUAACACAUCGGAACGUGUCCUCUUGUGGGGGAUAACCUGGCGAAAGCCAGGCUAAUACCGCAUGAGCUCGGGAGAGGAAAGCGGGGGACCUGCAAGGGCCUCGCGCAGGGGGAGCGGCGGAUGUUCGAUUAGCUAGUUGGUGGGGUAAAGGCUCACCAAGGCGACGAUCGGUAGCUGGUCUGAGAGGAUGAUCAGCCACACUGGGACUGAGACACGGCCCAGACUCCUAUGGGAGGCAGCAGUGGGGAAUUUUGGACAAUGGGGGCAACCCUGAUCCAGCCAUGCCGCGUGAGUGAAGAAGGCCUUCGGGUUGUAAAGCUCUUUCGGUGGGAACGAAACGGGCACGGCUAAUACCCGUGUUCAAUGACGGUACUCACAGAAGAAGCACCGGCUAACUACGUGCCAGCCGCCGCCGUAACAC
rnacentral:rRNA from 1 species